rnacentral:misc_RNA from 1 species
ACGAGUUACAAGUCGAUUCGACCGUGCUGGCGGAGACGCAUGUGCACGUCGGUCGCAAAACCUCAUCCACACACCUGUGAACGUAUGGCCUUUGGGUCCUCGUGACCUGGGGGCAAACCUUUUUCACCCACUCUGUUCGUAAAGGAAUGUCAUAUGUGCGAAAUGCGCAAAAUGUA